UUUAAAGGGGAGAGGGUCUCAAGGUAUCCAACUAUAGCUGAGGCAGCGAGGGGUGGUACACUGGUCCUGGGGUCAGGAAAACCUGACAUUUAUAAUUGUGCUACCUUAAGAAAAACAUUUAGACUGUUUGCCUCAGUUUCCUCAACUGCAAAAUGGAGAUAAUAAUAGCGUUUAUCAUCCAGGGGCCUUAAAAGGCUAAACGAAAUAUUUGUAAAGGGCUUGCCACAGAAUUUGCCGCUUUGCAGGUACUUAAGAAAUGGAUGCUAUUAUUAUUACCGUUACUUUUAAUUACCAAUGUCACUGAUGUGCCCAGCAAGUCCCGCUAAUGACGUCACGUCAAAUUCAAGCAGCUUUACUGCAGCCAGUUCAGGAGACAACCAAGUUUUGCCUUUGUUCGGAACAAUCCAGGCGCUUGAACUCAGGAUGCAAAGGUAAAGGGACACAGAGCAUGCGCGGUGAGCCAUCCAAGGAAGCUAUCUCCGCCCUCUCCAAGAGGAGGAGGGGGAGGGGAAACGGAAGAGAAAGAGGUGGAGCCGGAGGUUGUACAUCCGAGGAGGGAGGAUCUGAGAGCUCCUGACCCCAGCCAUGACCAAACAUGUGUUCUUAACGGGGCCCCCAGGGGUUGGAAAAACCACACUAAUCCAGAAAGCCAGUGAUGCUCUCAGAUCACUGGGUGUGCCUGUUGAUGGAUUUUAUACAGAAGAAGUCAGACAAGGCGGGAGAAGAAUAGGAUUUGAUGUGGUCACACUGUCUGGAUUGAGGGGUCCUUUGUCUAGAGUUGGGUCAGAGCCUCCCGCUGGAAGACGGGAAUACCGAGUGGGGCAGUAUGUGGUCGACCUUAUUUCUUUUGAGCAGUUAGCUCUCCCAGUGUUGAAAAAUGCAGAUGCUGGUCACAGCCCUGGAAAGAGGGUGUGUAUCAUUGAUGAAAUUGGGAAAAUGGAACUCUUUAGUCAGACUUUCAUUCACGCUGUGCGUCAGACUCUCUCCAGCCCAGGGACUGUGAUUUUUGGCACGAUACCGAUCCCUAAAGGAAAGCCAUUGACACUCGUGGAAGAAAUAAGAAACAGAAAUGAUGUUAAGGUGUUCAAUGUUACAAAGGAAAACAGAGAUAGUCUUUUACAAGAAAUCGUGACAGCCGUGCAGAGCUGCCGAAAGUAAAGCUUGUUUGUGCGGAAUGCUUUCCUGUCAGCUAAGUAGUGUCAUUGGCGACUAUAUCCUGCUCUUCAACAAACCUUCUCUUGUAAAAAAGAAAAACCAACAGAGAGGAUAAUUCCAUCUGAUGUUGCCUGAAACAUCUUACACUCUUACUCCCCUCAUCUCCCCCAAAGAAAGAAGAGCAGUAUAUUUCUUCAUCUCUUCUCCAAGACCAAAGUUGGAACUUUGAAGGAUAAAGGUGCUGCUGGAUUCAAGAUGGACAAAUGUUCAAGUCUUCAAAAAAGGGAAGACAGUUUUAGAACUUGCAAACUAGAGGGCAGUGAACUUGAUGUUGAUAUCUGGCAAAAAAUUUUUUAAUAAAAUUAGUUUGAACUUG